rnacentral:rRNA from 1 species
GAUGAACGCUGGCGGCGUGCCUAAUACAUGCAAGUCGAGCGAACGGACGAUAAGCUUGCUUCUCUGAUGUUAGCGGCGGACGGGUGAGUAACACGUGGAUAACCUACCUAUAAGACUGGGAUAACUUCGGGAAACCGUAGCUAAUACCGGAUAAUAUUUUGAACCGCAUGGUUCAAAAGUGAAAGACGGUCUUGCUGUCACUUAUAGAUGGAUCCGCGCUGCAUUAGCUAGUUGGUAAGGUAACGGCUUACCAAGGCAACGAUGCAUAGCCGACCUGAGAGGGUGAUCGGCCACACUGGAACUGAGACACGGUCCAGACUCCUACGGGAGGCAGCAGUAGGGAAUCUUCCGCAAUGGGCGAAAGCCUGACGGAGCAACGCCGCGUGAGUGAUGAAGGUCUUCGGAUCGUAAAACUCUGUUAUUAGGGAAGAACAUAUGUGUAAGUAACUGUGCACAUCUUGACGGUACCUAAUCAGAAAGCCACGGCUAACUACGUG